GUUAUUUUGACAGAGUAAGUGUGAUAGAUUUAGAAUCUUUAGAUAUAAUUUAAAAUUAUAAGUAAUA
rnacentral:tRNA from 1 species